rnacentral:rRNA from 1 species
CCUACGGGUGGCAGCAGUGGGGAAUAUUGGACAAUGGGCGAAAGCCUGAUCCAGCCAUGCCGCGUGUGUGAAGAAGGCCUUCGGGUUGUAAAGCACUUUCAGUGGGGAAGAAAGCCUUGGGGCUAAUACCCUCGAGGAAGGACAUCACCCACAGAAGAAGCACCGGCUAACUCCGUGCCAGCAGCCGCGGUAAUACGGAGGGUGCGAGCGUUAAUCGGAAUUACUGGGCGUAAAGCGCGCGUAGGCGGUCUGAUAAGCCGGUUGUGAAAGCCCCGGGCUCAACCUGGGAACGGCAUCCGGAACUGUCAGGCUAGAGUGCAGGAGAGGAAGGUAGAAUUCCCGGUGUAGCGGUGAAAUGCGUAGAGAUCGGGAGGAAUACCAGUGGCGAAGGCGGCCGUCUGGACUGACACUGACGCUGAGGUGCGAAAGCGUGGGUAGCAAACAGGAUUAGAUACCCCGGUAGUC